rnacentral:lncRNA from 1 species
GGAAUGUUGAAAGAAAAAUAUUAGACUAAAUGCAUUAUUUUGCUUUCUUGAGAUUAUGAGAAAAAAACAUAAUAGUUAAUUUUUAUCUGUGUUUCUAAAUGAUGUUGGCAAAGAAAAUCUGAGGAAAGAAGGGAGGAUUAAGAUGGCCUCUGUUGGUAAAGUGUUUAACUAGGCAAACACACAGCCUGGACUACAUCCUUAGGACCACACAGUCUGGACUCCAUCUGAAGGACCACACAGCCUGGACUCCAUCCCCAAGACUGUACAGCCUGGACUACAUCCCUAGGACCACACAGUCUGGACUCCAUCUGAAGGACCACACAGCCUGGACUCCAUCCCCAUGACUGUACAGCCUGGACUCCAUCCCUAGGACCACACAGCCUGGACUUCAUCCCUAGGACCACACAGUCUGGACUCCAUCUGAAGGACCACACAGCAUGGACUCCUUCCCUACGACUGCACAGCCUGGACUCCAUUCCUAGGUUCACACAGCCUGGACUUAAUCCCUAGAACCACAAAGCCUGGACUUCAUCCCCAGGACCACACACAACACACGUGGUGCACAGCAGUUAUCACAGCAGUUGGGAGAUAACAGCAGCAAGAUCAGAAGUUAUGUCCCUCCUCAGCUGAAUGGACACACAUAGUGGAAUGACAGAACCAGCCCCCACAAAUUG